rnacentral:snoRNA from 1 species
AAGACUAUACUUUCAGAGAUCAUUUUUAUAGUUCAUUACUAGAGAAGUUUUUCUGAAUGUGUACAGCACUUUUAAGCACAGUAUUUCAUAACCAUCACUACCUCCAAAGGAAUUGUUGAGUGC